rnacentral:rRNA from 1 species
UACGUAGGGUGCGAGCGUUGUCCGGAAUUACUGGGCGUAAAGAGCUCGUAGGUGGUUUGUCGCGUUGUCCGUGAAAUUCCCCGGCUUAACUGGGGGCGUGCGGGCGAUACGGGCAGACUGGAGUACUGCAGGGGAGACUGGAAUUCCCGGUGUAGCGGUGAAAUUCGUAGAUAUCGGGAGGAACACCGGUGGCGAAGGCGGCGAUCUGGGUAGAUACUGACGCUGAGGUGCGAAAGCGUGGGGAGCAAACAGG